rnacentral:rRNA from 1 species
CCUACGGGUGGCAGCAGUCGAGAAUCAUUCACAAUGGGGGAAACCCUGAUGGUGCGACGCCGCGUGGGGGAAUGAAGGUCUUCGGAUUGUAAACCCCUGUCAUGUGGGAGCAAAUUAUAAAGAUAGUACCACAAGAGGAAGAGACGGCUAACUCUGUGCCAGCAGCCGCGGUAAUACAGAGGUUUCAAGCGUUGUUCGGAAUCACGGGGAGUAAAGCGUGCGUAGGCUGUUUCGUAAGUCGUGUGUGAAAGGCGCGGGCCCAACCCGCGGACUGCACAUGAUACUGCGAGGCUAGAGUAAUGGAGGGGGAAGCGGAAUUCUCGGUGUAGCAGUGAAAUGCGUAGAUA